rnacentral:lncRNA from 1 species
AGUCACUUUCUCAGCAUCGGUGGCUGCCACCUUAUUCUUCCACGCACUGCGGAUGUCGGCUUACUUCUUGUAGCCGACCUCCAGAUCAGACAUGUCGUGGAUCAACUGCAGACAGAGGAUAAGUCGGAUUAUAAAAAAAAAGAAAAGAAAAAAAUAUUUAUCAAAGAGACUUAUCUCGAUAAUGGUCGGAUAAAAAGACGAAAAUAUUUCGACCAC